AACGAACGCUGGCGGCAUGCUUAACACAUGCAAGUCGAACGUUCUUGCCUUUAUGGUAAGGAAGUGGCGCACGGGUGAGUAACAUGUGGGAACCUACCUUUUAGUAUGGGAUAACAUUUGGAAACGAAUGCUAAUACCGUAUACGUCCUAUUGAUUGGUUAUUUGAUAGGGGAAAGAUUUAUCGCUAAGAGAUGGGCCCGCACUAGAUUAGCUAGUUGGUGGGGUAAGAGCUUACCAAGGCGACGAUCUAUAGCUGGUCUGAGAGGAUGAUCAGCCACACUGGGACUGAGAACGGCCCAGACUCCUACGGGAGGCAGCAGUGGGGAAUAUUGGACAAUGGGGGCAACCCUGAUCCAGCAAUGCCGCGUGAGUGAAGAAGGCCUUCGGGUUGUAAAGCUCUUUCACUGGAGAAGAUGAUGACGGUAUCCAGAGAAGAAGCCCCGGCUAACUUCGUGCCAGCAGCCGCGGUAAUACGAAGGGGGCUAGCGUUGUUCGGAAUUACUGGGCGUAAAGGGCGCGUAGGCGGUUAGAUAAGUUAGAUGUGAAAUCCCGAUGCUUAACGUCGGAACUGCAUUUAAAACUGUUUAGCUAGAAUACAAGAGAGGACAGUGGAAUUCCUAGUGUAGAGGUGAAAUUCGUAGAUAUUAGGAAGAACAUCGGAGGCGAAGGCGGCUGUCUGGCUUGAUAUUGACGCUGAGGCGCGAAAGCGUGGGUAGCAAACAGGAUUAGAUACCCUGGUAGUCCACGCUGUAAACGAUGAGUGCUAGACGUUGGAAAUCAUUUCAGUGUCGUAGCUAACGCGAUAAGCACUCCGCCUGGGGAGUA
rnacentral:rRNA from 1 species